AACGAACGCUGGCGGCAUGCCUAACACAUGCAAGUCGAACGAUCCCUUCGGGGAUAGUGGCGCACGGGUGCGUAACGCGUGGGAACCUGCCCUUAGGUUCGGAAUAACUCAGAGAAAUUUGAGCUAAUACCGGAUAAUGUCUUCGGACCAAAGAUUUAUCGCCUUUGGAUGGGCCCGCGUUGGAUUAGCUGGUUGGUGGGGUAAAGGCCUGCCAAGGCGACGAUCCAUAGCUGGUCGGAGAGGAUGGCCAGCCACGCUGGGACUGAGACACGGCCCAGACCCGGACGGGGGGCAGCAGUAGAGAAUAUUAUGCGAGGGGGGAAAGCCUGAUCCAGCAAUGCGGCGGGUGAGAGGAAGGCCUUAGGGUUGUAAAGCUCUUUUACCCGAGAUGAUAAUGACAGUACCGGGUGAAGAAGCCCCGGCUAACUCCGUG
rnacentral:rRNA from 1 species